CAGGUCCUACGGGGCGCAGCAGUCGCGAAACCUUUGCAAUACACGCAAGUGUGACAGGGUCAUCCCGAGUGCCGACCGCUGAGGUUGGCUUUUACUCAGUUUAGAAAGCUGGGGGAAUAAGGAGAGGGCAAGUCUGGUGUCAGCCGCCGCGGUAAUACCAGCUCUCCGAGUGGUGUGGACGUUUAUUGGGCCUAAAGCAUCCGUAGCUUGCUGAGCAAGUCCCCUGUUAAACCCACCGAUUUAAUCGUUGGCUUGCGGGGGAAACUGUUCGGCUAGGGGACGAGAGAGGCAGACGGUAUUCCCGGGGUAGGGGUGAAAUCCUAUAAUCCCGAGAAGACCACCAGUGGCGAAGGCUGUCUGYUAGAACGCGCCCGACGGUGAGGGAUGAAAGCUGGGGGAGCGAACCGGAUUAGAUACCCGGGUAGUCCCAGCUGUAAACGAUGCAGGCUAGGUGUUUGGACGGCCACGUGCCGUUCUAGUGCCGCAGGGAAGCUGUUAAGCCUGCCGCCUGGGGAGUACGAUCGCAAGAUUGAAACUUAA
rnacentral:rRNA from 1 species